GGCUGGGUGGCUCAGUCAGUUGAGCAUCUGACUUCAGCUCAGGUCAUGAUCUUGCAAUGUGUGGGUUCAAGCCCUGCAUCAGGCU
rnacentral:tRNA from 1 species